rnacentral:lncRNA from 1 species
UUCUCCUAGCUCAGGUUGUUUCUACGAUUUCUCGGGCGCAGACUCGUGGGGCUGGCCAGAUUCCUCUCAUCAACCAUUACAAGCCUGGGACCGAGCCUUCCCCUUGACUCAUGGCUCUCAAUUGUGGCUGGGGUCCUCUUCCACGGGUCUUCUUCCACAAUUCAUGGUAACAGACUCCAAUAGAAGAUGCCAAUCACGCGCAUGCCUGCGAUCUGGUGGAUUGGGUUGUGAGAUUCCUGAUCCCGCCUCUGCCCAUAUAACGUAGACGCAAAACCCCCCAACCCUCAUCUUAGGCGCCGCCAAACCACCGUCAAUUGAGCAAGCAUCGACGAGAAUAGGGAAGAAGUACAUGAAUCACCGCGGGUCCAUGCGGUGGCAUGGUUGGGAGCUCUGCGCUGGGUGGAUUGCGGUGAGUACCUUCUCGGGUGAUUGGUCGUUGUCUCUGCUUCGCAUUGUGCCACUCGGACCUGGGAUUGGGGCACUGGCGCUUAAGAUCACCGUCGCUGGCCAUGGUGACCGCCGAGGGAGUGGGCGGCGCGGCCGUCCGUUCGGCCGAGGAUUGGGGUCCGGCCCGUUCGGCCGAUCGAUUUCCGGGGAACGAUCCCAAUUGGGGAUUGGAUCCUGGACGUUGGUUUGAUCAGCGACAAUCGUGAUUGGAUGAGGCAUAUCCCUUCCGGAAACAUGAUCAGAGCCGUUAGAUCAGAAUCGCAUGGAUGAGAUUAGAUCGCGAGUAUUUAAAUCUUGAUCAUCGAUCACUGAUCGAAUGACUCUAGUCGCGUACCGGUUUAUAAUGUUGGGGUUCUAAUAUGAUCCGUCAGUAUUGGAUCAGACGGCCGUGAUCCUUGCUUACCUCUUCGCGUGGACUUUUGUGUUAUUAACCUUGGACUUUUUAGUAAUUGUUGCGCUCUCUAGAGCUCGGGAAAUCAAAUAAAUAAAUUCAAAAAUUGUUUUUUGGGUAUAAAAAAAUUGCAGAAACCCAUUUAAUUCAUAUAAAUUUCAUAUUAAAUCCUUUUUGACCCAUUCCAAUUUCUAUAGUUUGGUAUUAAUAUUGUUUAUCACUCAGUGUCUCUGUUUGGACAUGAAAGUCACAUUAAAAUGUAUAUCCUAUUUAAUCUUGUAUAAAACACAUAGAAUCUUCAGAAAUUCAUAACUUAUAAUCUAUAACUCUGAAUUGAUCUGUUCCAGUUGUGUUAGCUUCGUAUAAAUAUCUACUACACAAUAGCAACAUUUAUUAUAUUAUAUCCCACACUUUUAUAAUUAAGUAACUAAUUGGGUUAAUCUAUGUCUAUUGGAUUAACUUCUUUAAUUUAAUAUAGUAUUCUAAUUUUAUGGUUAUAAUUUAACUAGAUAAUCUUUAAUCAAAUAAUGACUUAGAUUAAAGUUGAGAUAAAUAUUUAUAGAAUAACCUCUCAUAUUAUAGUUUAAUAUUUUAAUCACAUAGAUCUUCUAUAAGAUCAAAACUCAUUAACCAUGACUCCGAUCUUAGUAGUUCCUGAUCCCACGAUCUCAUAGCGACACAUAGAUCAAUAUUAUGUAGUUUGUUCUUAUGUAUGGUGUGAUGUUAAUUUUUUCUAUACCAUGUUUGUUUGUAUUGCUACGACUAGCAGUGCGGACACGAGGAUCUGAGGAAUCAUCCUGGUACCUGGAAUCUCAAGUCCCAGGCAAGUUGUGCCCUUGAUCACUUUCAUUUACCCAAUAAUGUUCUUUAUUAUCACUAUUCAAUGCAUAAGUGUAAUUUUGAUGGGACCCAAUAGGUCAUCCUAGUAUGAUUAUCUUUUACCUUGUUUACCCCUAAAUCAUUUGGGUAGUUAUUGUAUUGCUUUAUAUGGUUUUGGGUUAAUAUUUCAUUAUAUCCAUGUUCCAGUUAUUCUGUUAUGUUAUGUUCAUGUCAAGAUCAUUAUCUUUAAUUGGAACAUGGAGCUUAACUUGAGAAACACGUGCCACCACAAGGGUGGAAUGGGACGCCCUUGGCUGACUAAUUAGGAAAGCUAGUGGAAGACUACCUUACCCGAAAGGGGCAAGGGCAGUAGGGGAGUUGCAUGCAGGGAGGUUCUCGUGUUGAUUUUGCUGCGAUGGCGGUCAGACGAGGGAUUCUUGCAAGUGCUCUUCCCAUAAACUGUAGCAGGUUUUUGAAGCUAGUGGAACUUUGUAAAGGCCUCGUAGUGUUACCCUGCCUCACUUCCUUGGUAGAGGUGAAUGGGAUUCAUGACCCCUUGGCAGAUGGGUAACAUGACUUGUGGGUACAGGGUAUAACCUCUGCAGAGUGUAAAACUGGUAUACUAGCCAAGCUCACGGUCAAGAGCAGCUCAGGACUCUCGCAUGAUUAAAUUAUGGAACUAAAUUCAAUUCGUCAUUUGCAUUGCAUGGUAUUUUGUUAUUAAUUUUGUUCUAUUCUUAUUAUGGUUUGGUAUUUACUUACAUCUAGUAAUUGCUAAUAAAUUUUUACCAACUUUAAAAGCAAUGCUCAGCUUUAACCAUUCUCUUUGGUAAGCCUUACACUUCAUGAGCUCCCACCUUUGGCGAGUUCAUGCAUUAUUCCCCACAACUUGUUGAGCGAUGAACAUGUGUGAGCUCACCCUUGAUGUCUCACACCCCCACAGGAGAAGAACAGGUGGUUCAAGAGGAUCCACACAGUGAGGAGUUCGAUUUGAUCUAGGUGGCGUCUCCCAGUUGACUUUAUGACGCCAAGGAUGGACUUUAGUUUGAUCUAUAUUUAUAUUUUAUUUUGUAAGACUACCACUAUGUAAUAAGUACUCUGAUGAUAUUGUGACAUUUAUCUCUAUACACUCUGUUACUAUAUGUGUUGUCUUCUUUGGCGCAUAUAUGAG